rnacentral:lncRNA from 13 species
AUGAGUCUGGGAGCUCAGCUAAAAUCCCCUGGCCCAGUUUUUUUUUUUUUAAGAGGUGGUCAUAGAAUCUGGAGAAACAUGGAAAUGGAGACCAAAAGAGGGAAGGAGGGAUGCCAUCAGACGACACUGGGAUCCCGGAAGACGGAACACUGUGUGCUAGUGGCAAAGUGUCCUCCAUGGGCUCAGCACUUUACAGACGUCACCUCACGUAACCCAUGCCACAAUUGGGAGAAAGCACGAUUGCCACGGUACCCACGAGGAACCAGAGAGGAAAAGGAGCUGUCCAGGACCACGGGGCUGGCUGGUUGGUGGAGGAGGCAGGAAAGCCCCGCAAAAAGAACUUUUCAAAAGGGAUUUCAACCUCUGACCACCUGGAGACAGACGACUGGCACUCUUUGUAAAUGCACUGACAUGACAGGGAACAGCUGCUGGGGAGGUGGAGACGGUGCAGGGAGAGACAGGAAGCCCCAGAGGCUUGGAAAUCCAGGAGCCACAGGAAGCAGUGAGCUUUGUGCAGAGCUAGAUCUGGUGGAGCCAAUUCACCAGCAGGUCCUGGCAGUGACUCUUCUACAACGGAUUCCCGCCUGUCCCUGUGCCCCAUUGCCCCCCUGCCAUCAAUCUCCGCCUCAUGGGAGGUGGACCAAGCCUUUCUGUGUGUAG